CUUUAUAUCCCACAUAGUUCAGAUGAAAC
rfam:Candidatus Magnetobacterium bavaricum SAG42788, whole genome shotgun sequence.